rnacentral:rRNA from 1 species
UACGAAGGGGGCUAGCGUUGUUCGGAAUUACUGGGCGUAAAGCGCACGUAGGCGGAUCUUUAAGUCAGGGGUGAAAUCCCAGAGCUCAACUCUGGAACUGCCUUUGAUACUGGGUAUCUUGAGUAUGGAAGAGGUAAGUGGAAUUGCGAGUGUAGAGGUGAAAUUCGUAGAUAUUCGCAGGAACACCAGUGGCGAAGGCGGCUUACUGGUCCAUUACUGACGCUGAGGUGCGAAAGCGUGGGUAGCAAACAGG